rnacentral:rRNA from 1 species
ACUGUGUGUUGUUGGGUAGGGGAGCGUUCUGUAAGCCUGUGAAGGUGGCCUGUGAGGGUUGCUGGAGGUAUCAGAAGUGCGAAUGCUGACAUAAGUAACGAUAAAGCGGGUGAAAAGCCCGCUCGCCGGAAGACCAAGGGUUCCUGUCCAACGUUAAUCGGGGCAGGGUGAGUCGACCCCUAAGGCGAGGCCGAAAGGCGUAGUCGAUGGGAAACGGGUUAAUAUUCCCGUACUUGGUGUUACUGCGAAGGGGGGACGGAGAAGGCUAUGUUGGCCGGGCGACGGUUGUCCCGGUUUAAGCGUGUAGGUGUGUGUUCCAGGUAAAUCCGGUUCACUUUAACACUGAGGCGUGACGACGAGGCACUACGGUGCUGAAGCAACAAAUGCCCUGCUUCCAGGAAAAGCCUCUAAGCAUCAGGUAACAUCAAAUCGUACCCCAAACCGACACAGGUGGUCAGGUAGAGAAUACCAAGGCGCUUGAGAGAACUCGGGUGAAGGAACUAGGCAAAAUGGUGCCGUAACUUCGGGAGAAGGCACGCUGACAUGUAGGUGAAGUGAUUUACUCAUGGAGCUGAAGUCAGUCGAAGAUACCAGCUGGCUGCAACUGUUUAUUAAAAACACAGCACUGUGCAAACACGAAAGUGGACGUAUACGGUGUGACGCCUGCCCGGUGCCGGAAGGUUAAUUGAUGGGGUCAGCGCAAGCGAAGCUCCUGAUCGAAGCCCCGGUAAACGGCGGCCGUAACUAUAACGGUCCUAAGGUAGCGAAAUUCCUUGUCGGGUAAGUUCCGACCUGCACGAAUGGCGUAAUGAUGGCCAGGCUGUCUCCACCCGAGACUCAGUGAAAUUGAACUCGCUGUGAAGAUGCAGUGUACCCGCGGCAAGACGGAAAGACCCCGUGAACCUUUACUAUAGCUUGACACUGAACAUUGAGCCUUGAUGUGUAGGAUAGGUGGGAGGCUUUGAAGUGUGGACGCCAGUCUGCAUGGAGCCGACCUUGAAAUACCACCCUUUAAUGUUUGA